rnacentral:rRNA from 1 species
UACGUAGGGGGCAAGCGUUGUCCGGAUUUAUUGGGCGUAAAGAGCGUGUAGGCGGUCAGGUAGGUCCGUUGUGAAAACUCGAGGCUCAACCUCGAGACGCCGAUGGAAACCAUCUGACUAGAGUCCGGAAGAGGAGAGUGGAAUUCCUGGUGUAGCGGUGAAAUGCGCAGAUAUCAGGAAGAACACCCGUGGCUAAGGCGGCUCUCUAGUACGGUACUGACGCUGAGGCACGAAAGCGUGGGGAGCAAACAGG